GUGAAACUGCGAAUGGCUCAUUAAAUCAGUUAUCGUUUAUUUGAUAGUAACUUUAUUACUUGGAUAACCGUGGUAAUUCUAGAGCUAAUACAUGCUAAAAGUCCUGUCAAAGGGAUGUAUUUAUUAGAUAAAAGACCAAUGCUUCUUCGGAAGCUCUUUGGUGAUUCAUGAUAACUUUUCGAAUCGCAUGGCCUAGAGCUAGCGAUGGUUCAUUCAAAUUUCUGCCCUAUCAACUUUCGAUGGUAGGAUAGUGGCCUACCAUGGUUUCAACGGGUAACGGGGAAUUAGGGUUCGAUUCCGGAGAGGGAGCCUGAGAAACGGCUACCACAUCCAAGGAAGGCAGCAGGCACGCAAAUUACCCAAUCCCGACACGGGGAGGUAGUGACAAUAAAUAACAAUGCAGGGCUUUUAUAGUCUUGUGAUUGGAAUGAGUACAAUUUAAAUACCUUAACGAGGAACAAUUGGAGGGCAAGUCUGGUGCCAGCAGCCGCGGUAAUUCCAGCUCCAAUAGCGUAUAUUAAAGUUGUUGCAGUUAAAAAGCUCGUAGUUGAACCUUGGGCUUGGUCGGCCGGUCCGCCUCACUGGUGUGCACUGACCCGAUCGAGCCUUUUUUUCUGGGUAACUAUAGUGUUUUUUACUAAAUGCUAUAGGGAACCAGAACUUUUACUUUGAAAAAAUUAGAGUGUUCAAAGCAGGCAUACGCUCGAAUAUAUUAGCAUGGAAUAAUAGAAUAGGACGUACGGUUCUAUUUUGUUGGUUCUCUAGGACCGUCGUAAUGAUUAAUAGGGACAGUCGGGGGCAUCAGUAUUCAAUUGUCAGAGGUGAAAUUCUUGGAUUUAUUGAAGACUAACUACUGCGAAAGCAUUUGCCAAGGAUGUUUUCAUUAAUCAAGAACGAAAGUUAGGGGAUCGAAGACGAUCAGAUACCGUCGUAGUCUUAACCAUAAACUAUGCCGACUAGGGAUCGGGCGGUGUUCUUUUUUUGGCCCGCUCGGCACCUUACGAGAAAUCAAAGU
rnacentral:rRNA from 2 species